UCCCCCUAAUCGGAGGCAGUCUCGCAUGACACUUGUAACAUGCAAUAGGGGUUGCGUUCGUUACCCCACUUAAGGGAACAGUUCACACCACGAACUGACGACGGCCGUGCAUCACCUGUCCUGCUGUCCUUGUGAGAAGUUCCGAGUUUCCCCGGAAUGUCAACAGAAUUUCAAACCCUGGUGAGGUUCCUCGUUUGCCAUCGAAUUAAACCACAUGGCCCACCGCUUGUGCGAAUCCCCGUCUAUUCCUUUGAGUUUUAGCCUUGCGGCCGUACUUCCCAGGCGGCAGGCUUAACGCGUUAGCUAAGUCACUCGGAGGGUCGAUACUCCGAACAACGAGCCUGCAUCGUUUAGGGCGUGGACUAC
rnacentral:misc_RNA from 1 species